rnacentral:rRNA from 1 species
CCUACGGGAGGCAGCAGUGGGGAAUUUUGGACAAUGGGCGCAAGCCUGAUCCAGCAAUGCCGCGUGAGUGAAGAAGGCCUUCGGGUUGUAAAGCUCUUUUGUCAGGGAAGAAACGGUGGUUCCUAAUACGGACUACUAAUGACGGUACCUGAAGAAUAAGCACCGGCUAACUACGUGCCAGCAGCCGCGGUAAUACGUAGGGUGCAAGCGUUAAUCGGAAUUACUGGGCGUAAAGCGUGCGCAGGCGGUUAUAUAAGUCAGAUGUGAAAUCCCCGGGCUCAACCUGGGAACUGCAUUUGAGACUGUAUGGCUAGAGUGUGUCAGAGGGGGGUAGAAUUCCACGUGUAGCAGUGAAAUGCGUAGAUAUGUGGAGGAAUACCGAUGGCGAAGGCAGCCCCCUGGGAUAACACUGACGCUCAUGCACGAAAGCGUGGGGAGCAAACAGGAUUAGAUACCCUGGUAGUCCACGCCCUAAACGAUGUCUACUAGUUGUCGGACUUAUUGUCUUGGUAACGCAGCUACGCGUGAGUAGACCGCCGUGGGAGGUACGGUCGCGAGAAGUUAAACGUACGAAAGAAGUUAGUACGGCGUGAGACGUAGACCGACGGACGACGACGAGGGAGGAGG